UGUAGAUGUCUUGCUGUGCCUAAUAUUUUGGCGAGAAAUACUGUUGUUUACCUCGUACGAGGAAGUUUUGAAGCCUUUGCACCUUACUAGGAAAAGCCUCGUUCAAUAUACGGCAUAUUAAACGAAUUGUAUUAGAAACAAACGAAUUGUGCACGAAAAGCCGAAGGCUUUUCGACACGUUCUUGCUCGACACCAAUGGGUUGUUGUGGGAACAAAACCGAAACCACAAAUGACAUUGAUAUGGGAGAAAGCGACCAUAAAGACGGUGGGAGUUAUGGUGAGUAAAAGGUCUUCAGGUGCUUUCAUGUUUAAAAACCAGACAGUGUAUUUUGGCGAAUAAACCGCGCCGAGACUGUUUACUCUUCUACUGUAUGUGGUAUACCACGUAUUUGUAGUCUGUAAGCUGAGCUUUAAAGACAGUCCUGUUUCUAAAAUUACUCAAAAUUUAUGAGCAAGUUAUUGCCAUUUAAGAUAACAACAGAUAAGAAUUGGCCAAGAGUGCUUUAAAUCAAUGCUUUAAUUCAACAGUUUUGGUUUUACAAACGGGAUUACGGGAUCAUAUCUCGGAUCAUAUGACCCGUCUAUUGCAGAAAAUCUCGGAAUGCAAAAGUUUCAAAACAGAGCAAACAUAUAUGUAGAUGUAUUAAAUUUCAGCUUGUGUUUAAUUUUCAACUGAGGUUAAAAGACAAAAAUUCAGCUGAAACUUAUGCAGCUUUGUUGACGGAUUCUGUACAGUGACAAAAUUGGUCUGUUAUAUUGCUUAUGAAGCAUAUUUCCGUGUUUUUUCUUGUAAAAAUGACCGGAAAUGUUGGAUAUUUUUCCAGAAUAGUUAUGGCAAACCACAGUUAAUAGACUAAGAUUAACUGUGGGCAAACUAGAGUUUUUGUCAAAUAGGAAGAUCAGAAAUCUGCUUGGUUCUUGAUUCGUGAGAAUGUGCAGAUUCGUGAGAAAUUACUUGACGUUUUGACAAUUUGAGGGAUUUUGCACAAAUUUUCAUAAUUACAAGACUAUGAUGUUUGUGAUGUUACUCUGAGUGUAUAUCCACACCGGGCAAGCUUGAAAAAUAUGCUUGGCCAUGGUGGGAAUCGAACCUACAACCUUUGGAAUACCAGUUUUUUUCAAGCUUGCCCGGUGUGGAUAUACACUCAGAGUAACAUCACAAACAUCAUACAUCAACACAGAAAAAAUCAUGAUUACAAGACUACUCAGUUUUUAGGGGGAGGGGGUGCAGUGCAAGUAGCCAAGCACACCAAACCCAGCACUAACCAGCAAUGUACUGGCAAAGUGCACCUAGUAGUUUUGUGCUAACAAUUUACAGAUAUAUAAUAGUUUUGUUUGUGGAAACACCACGUAAAUUUAUUACUGCAAAGCUUUCGAUCCGUAAGCCCGGAUCUUCAUUGCUAAUAAUUUUCAUAUUAUUACCACUGAUGAAGAUUCGGGCUUAUGGAUCGAAAGCUUUGCAGUAAUAAAUUUAUGUGGUGUUACUACAAACAAAACUAUAAUUAUAUAUUUUAUCGCCAUGCAAACAUACAAAGAAUUUACAGAUAUGUUGAUUAAACAUAAUUUAACAAUUAUAUUGAUAUAUUGUGAUUGUGUGAAAGAGAAAAUGGAAUUUUUUUACAUUUGAUUGCUUUUGUAAUUUUUAUUUUCAUUGUCAAAUACUUGUUAGAUGUUUGCAGCAAAAUUAAGAAUUUGUUUUAUUUUAAUUAAUGAAAGUAUCAAACUUAAAAAUUAUUAACUAUAAUGCUGUGGUGCUGCCUUGAAUACCGAAACUUAAGUUAGUCCAAGACAGAUGACAACAGAUAAGAUUUUGUUUAAAUUUUUUCAUCCCCCUUGCACCCUCGUUGACCAAGGCCAUGUGCACCCCCCUAUAAAUCCACCACUGAGAAUCCAAAAAAUGAUCAGGUUGUUGCAAUAUUGAUGAAAACAGGAUUGAACAAUGCUUUGCUGCCCACAUUGUUCACAGUUGCCAACAAUAUUGAACAAUAUUGUUGCUCCCGAUUCAGGCUCAACAACAUUGUUCAAUAUUGUUGACAAGUGUGAACAACAUGGGCAGCAAAACAUUGUUCAAUCCUGUUGAGCAGCAGGCUCAGCGUUUUUUGCCGUAUAUACAGGGUUUUCAGUUUAGGCCGGCGCACAGCGAAUUUCGCCAGACUUUUUCAUUCAGCCCCACCCAAAUUCGCCAGAGCUUUUACAUCAAUAUAUAAUCCAUGUGCAUGAAUGAUUGUGAAACUUAACUCAGGGCAGUCUACAUAGUCUAGGCUUUUCCCUUUCGCCAUAGCUUCAUCGCCAUUAGCCAAAGCCUCAACUGAAAACCCUGUGUAUAUAAUAAAAUGAUUUCACACCAUUCUUUCACUCUCAUGACUUGGACUAAUUGAUCACCAUUAUUUCAUGAUAGUGCUUUACACUUGCAGUUUUUGCUGUGAUUUCUAGUGCAAUUUUCUCCCUCUGGUGGAUGUGAAUGAGUGAAUAAGUUACUCUGAGUAUAUGUACAUGUACCAUCAUCUAAACAUUCCUAACUCAUUCACAUACAUCAGCAGAAGAAAGUCACAGCAAAAAAUUGCAAAUUUAAACAGGCCUUUAAGUUAAAAUGCAAAUAAAGGAAGUUAUUAAAUGCAAAUAAGCAAGUAUUUUAUUGCUUAUGCAGGGUGUUUAUCUUCCUCAUUGAACUAAAAAAGCUUGAACUGCUAUGUUAAAAUGAAGCGUGAAAAGAAAGGCAAGCUAGUUUAGUUUAAUAGUGUAGUUUAUUGUGCCUUAUUACCACGAGGUAGUCGCAAAGAUCUUUUUAUACAAUAUUUAGGAAAAAGAAUAAAUUUUUAGCAGCAGGCAGCUGAAAAUUGUGCUUUAAUUAUUUAUUCUACUGUAUAUAAAUUAUUUCGAAAAUUUAAGCACAGAAGGUUGCCCAUUACUCUGUGUCAGUUUUAUUGUGUGAACCCACCAAAUCAAUAUCUGGUAGAGUGUUUUAUAUUGUUACUAAAGUUACAAAAUAGCAAAUUUUGAAGUCAUUUAUGUAAUUGAGAGGGCCCCCUAUACUUUUUGCGUGAAGCGUGAAGGGCUUAUUUUACUUAGCCGUGAAACGUGAUCAAUGAUUUUCUUAAUCCGUGACUCGUGAAAAGGCAAAAUAUUUUUACUUGAAAGCAUAUUGUGAAGAGGUAUAGGGGACCCUCAAUUGACAGUUUCUAUAAAAUUUAUUUCAAAAUUCAAAAUGAAUAACAGUCCUCAAAAAAUGAGGCUGGCAUUUGGCAAUGCUGACAUGUCAUCAUCCCAGGUUGGCAAUUCCUUUACUGACUUCAAUUCAAUUAGUCUCGUGCAGUAGAAGUAUCUUUUUUGUGUGCCGACAACAGUUCAAAAUGGCAUCCUAUUCGUUCAUUAUUCUGUGUUCACAGCUUGUAGUUCUUCCCUAGUGCAGUCAGGGAAACUGCAAGGCUAAUGUCAGUAAUUCUAACGGAAAGCAGCCGUCAGAAUAUUAAAAAGUAUGAUUGUGUUACUGGCUGCUGCUGUUUUGAAAUUACAAUGUAGGAGAUGGUAUGCUAAAAAUGCUGAGUGUUGGACCCCCUGGGUCAGAUUUAGGUUGGCGUUUAUAUUGUUUUGCCAACCUCAUUUUUAACUCUUCAAGGGCUGAGACAAUAAUAUUGAAUGGACCUAAACUAUAAUCGCACUUUCACACAAACUAAUAAACCAAACUAAUAAACCAGAAUACCAGAGAUGAUCACUACUGUCAGCUUUGUGAAAAUCACUUUCGAAUCCUAUAAUCCUUUGUGGCUUAGCUUGAGUGUCAGACGAUUUCGUUAUUUGUCUGACACUCCGGCUAUUUGUGUCUGAACUUCCUGAAAAACAAUAAAAACAUGUGAAGUCAGGAAGUUGUUGCGUGACACAUCAAACAGUUCCUUUAAUAUUUAACCCUUUGAGUGGCAAUGUGCUCUAGAUUGUUUUUUAUUUUUGUCUAACACCAGUCAAAUUUACUCGUCAAGGGGAUCACCUGCACCUUAGGAAGCUUAUGUACCUAUCAAUUCGAAACUUCAACAGCCUUCAGACCGACCCCGGGAAUUUGAACUUUUUGAAAUUUGACUGAUCAAAUUCUCCCCUACCUGUGCAAAAAAUGUCUUCAAAUGCCCCACUGUAACAAGAAAUUAAGCGUUCAAAUGCCCCACCUUCAUAUGAAAAUUAUGAAGCGGUAAAAACAAAAAGGGAAAAUAUAUGGAAAUGUUUUUCGGCGAGACAGCGAAAUUCACUUAAAAAGUUUGGAAACCUAAUUAUGGAAAUUUGACAGGUUUACACAAUUUUAUAGUACAUACCUUCAAAUGAAGCACAUAGCUUUUCCAUGCCCGUUUCUUUGAGCCAGUUUUUCACAAAAUUGUGCCCUUUUACCUCGCAAUCUGAGAAAACUGUAUUUGCCGCCAAUGCGAAGCCUUUUCUGUAGUGUUUUAGUAAUUAGUAGCCUGCAUGCACGAAGCGAAAACGAGCAAAAUUUUAAGACCUCCGGUUCAAAUUCCCCCAUCCUUAUCAAAUGCCCCACCACCCUUAUCAAAUGCCCCACCACCCUUAUCAAAUGCCCCACCACCCUUAUCAAAUGCCCCACCACAUGGAAGAUCUAGAACGUCAAAUUCCCUACUCCCUGGAGAAGACUUGAAGUCAAAUUCGGGGAGAUGUUGAAGUUUCGAAUUGAUCGGUACAUUAUUGUACAAUGCAUUUCAGCUACACUUACUCAGACCCUCUAUCUCAAGCUUCGGAUACACGAGCAAUAUUUUUGCUGCGAUGGUUACGCAAUGGAUGAUAACAGCAUUGCAUUGCCGUCGCACAAGGUGGCUACACCUGCAAUAUUUCACCUACCCCGUAUAUGUCUUCAUAACGCUUUUCAUUGGCUGGUCAAGAAACGUGUCAUUCAUCAACCUUGACCUUCCUUGACCACACCUCCCAAUUUUUGGCAAUCAUUGCCGAAAAGCAAAUGAUUUGAAAUUUCGGCAACGAUUGCGCGCAGCUUUGCAUUGCCGUCGCAGAGCAUGAUACACAAGCAAUUUCUUUCUCGCGGCGGCAAUGCAACGAUUUUACCACCAUUGCAUUGCCAUCGCCAGAAAAGUAUUGCCCGUGUAUCCGUAGCUUUAACUAGACCCUCAUUUUUGCCAUCGUUUCAGACACAUAUACAGGGUGUAUAAAAAAAAGGUCAUCGAAAUUCAGCGCGCUAUUGUAUCUGAAUUACUCUGCGUAUGAACGAGAUUUUUUCACUUUCGGAAAGAUCAUGCUUUUAGCUGUUGAAUGAUAUAUUCUUCAUGCCAAAUGGAUAAAAAAUGAGCAAAUACGAAUCCGAUAAAAAAUGUUAGUCAGAAUCGCAUAUUUUCACCGUUGAGAGUUGGGUCUAAAACCAUUGAAAAUGAACCCCCUUUGGUACUUAAGUUGAUGAAUUUUACUUCAAUAAACGACGCACAUAUUCAUAAUUAUUAUUAAGUAGGAAUAAAUCUUAGCUAAGCUAGGACACGUUUGUGAUUAAUUGCUUUUUCUUUUGUUAUGCAUUGUUUUAAUUAGGUACAGAGGUGAAAAUAUGUGAUUUUGACUAACAUUUUUAAUCGGCCUCGUACAUGCUUAUUUUUUCUCCACUUGGCAUGAAAAGCAUGUCAUUCAGUAGCUAAAAGCAUGAUCUUUCCGAAUAUGAAAACCAAUUGUUCAUACGCCGAGUGAUUCACGUAUAAUAGCGCGCUGAAGUUCGAUUACCUUUUUUUUAUACACCUUGUAUAAUCCAAAAUUAACUUGUGUCAUCACUGUAAAAGUAUUUGAAAAAUUGCCAUGACAAUUAUACACUAUAAACACAUACAAACAUUAAUUAUGUUAGUGAAUAUUUUGCUGUUUUGAAAAAAAGUAAUAAGAUUUUUAUGACCACCUAAGAUGACCCGUUCUUAAUUAAUAGGUAAAUCAAGAAAAUUUGAUCCAGAAUUUAGUGGCCCAAUCAAAAACAGGUUUUUACCUAAUUUCUCAUCCAUUGAUCUAUUCUUGAAUAUAUAUUAUAAACUGCAUUAUUUCGAACAUUUUUACCACUAUCUUAGGAGUUGCACAGAUAUCCCAUGUUGUAUUCUUUUCAUCGUAUAUCUUGUUGGGAUGGCGAUUGUUGGUAUAUUAGGUCAGUAGUAUAUUGAUUUUGUACCUAAUCAGGGAUAAAAAAAAUCCAUUCAAGUGAUCAAGAGGUUCAGAUUCAGAGCUUUCACUACCACUAUAACCUCUCACAGUCCCACCAAUGCAGCUUAGUAUGCACCUGAAAUAAAAGUCUAAGCCAAUCAAAUGCAUUGUUUACAAAUGGUUUGUGAAUAUGAUUAUGAACUUUGCAACGAAGUUUGCAACAUUUAGGGAAAAGUUAUGUGAAAUCAACUGUAAUGGUCUCUUAAUGGUAGUGAUAGUGGAAUCUAAUCUGAACCUCUAGUAUGAACUGGUUGACUGACCAAAAGGGGUACACCCUCUGAUUACUGUCACCCUCUCAACCCUGAGGGGUGUGACCCACCCCCAAACCAGGUGAGCCUAGAUAUUAUUUCCCUCAACAAACCAUUGAUAGAAUUUUACUGGCUGGACAUGCAACCCUAUGGCCGAAACCACCCAAGAAUGUAUCUCCAUCAAUUCCUUUAUAUACUGAAAUAUUAGAUGGGCUGUGAUAUAACCCAUGCCCCAACCCAAGAAACAUCUGCACCCUCUAUCAACUGAGACUCCCUUGUCUCUAACUACUCUUACCAGUGCCAAGUGAACUUAUAUUGUAUUUUAGCCUUCAUGUGGGGCAAUCCAGACCGUCUAAUCAACCCAGUUAAUUCUGAAGG